CCCUUAGAUGUUCUGGGCCGCACGCGUGCUACACUGAGUAAAUCAAUGGGUAAGGGAACACGAAAGUGCAACCUAAUCUUCAAAUUUGCUCGUGAUGGGGAUCGACGGUUGCAAUUUUCCGUCGUGAACGAGGAAUACCUUGUAGGCGCGUGUCAUCAUCACGCGCCGAAUACGUCCCUGCCCUUUGUACACACCGCCCGCCGCUCCUACCGAUUGAGUGAUCCGGUGAGGCUCUGGGACCUGGACGGAAAGAGCGUUUCGCUUGUUCUGUUUGGGAAACUUGGUCGAACCUUAUCAUUUAGAGGAAGGAGAAGUCGUAACA
rnacentral:rRNA from 1 species